UACGUAGGAUGCAAGCGUUGUCCGGAAUUAUUGGGCGUAAAGGGCACGCAGGCGGUUUGGUCAGUCAGUCGUGAAAUCUCCCGGCUUAACUGGGAGGGGUCGAUUGAUACUGCCAAACUUGAGGGCGGAAGAGGAAAGUGGAAUUCCCGGUGUAGUGGUGAAAUGCGUAGAUAUCGGGAGGAACACCAAUGGCGAAAGCAGCUUUCUGGUCCGUUUCUGACGCUGAGGUGCGAAGGCUAGGGGAGCAAACAGG
rnacentral:rRNA from 2 species